rnacentral:rRNA from 1 species
CGUAACACGUGGGCAACCUGCCCUGAAGCGGGGGACAACAACUCGAAAGAGUUGCUAAUACCGCAUGUGUAUCGGGAUGGCAUCAUCCAGGAUACAAAGCCUUCGGGCACUUCAGGAUGGGCCCGCGGCCUAUCAGCUAGUUGGUGAGGUAACGGCCCACCAAGGCUUCGACGGGUAGCUGGUCUGAGAGGACGAUCAGCCGGAUUGGGACUGAGAUACGGCCCAG